rnacentral:tRNA from 1 species
UCCCUGGUGGCUCAGAGGUUAAAGCGUCUGCCUGCAAUGCAGAAGACCUGGGUGCCAUCCCUGGGUUGGGAA